rnacentral:misc_RNA from 1 species
GAUGAAGAACGUAGCGAAAUGCGAUACGUAAUGUGAAUUGCAGAAUUCCGUGAAUCAUCGAAUCUUUGAACGCACAUUGCGCCCCUUGGUAUUCCAUGGGGCAUGCCUGUUCGAGCGUCAUUUGUACCUUCAAGCUUUGCUUGGUGUUGGGUGUUUGUCCUGAGGGACUCGCCUUAAAGUAAUUGGCAGCCAGUGUUUUGGUUUUGAAGCGCAGCACAAGUCGCGAUUCAAAGCUAUACGCCAGCUUCCACAAGCCUUUUUCACUUUUGACCUCGGAUCAGGUAGGGAUACCCGCUGAACUUAAGCAUAUCAAUAAGCGGAGGA